GAGACAUCAAGUUUGUCAAUUUUCCGCAACCAUCUACUUCGAAUUUUACAAGUUUACUGAAGUAGGUAGUUGGAAGUUGGUGAGACCAGAGAGCAGUUAUGCUGUCAGCCCUAUCGAUAUACAGAUCUUCCAGGUUGGGACAAGAAACCUUUUCAUCAAAAAGAGGAUUUGAGUCAGUGAUAGAGUUGUUGGCUGUAUGCCAGAAAUUUUGGAACUCUGGUAAGCUACUGAAGUGCAUUUUCCGCAACCGAGGGAACUCAAUGCCCUCAACAGUGUCAUUGCAAAAGUGAGUGAGGCAUUCCA
rnacentral:misc_RNA from 1 species